GGGAAGGUGGCUCAGUGGUAGAGUGCAUGCCUUGCCUGCAUGAGGCCGUGGGUUCGAUUCCUCAGUACCA
rnacentral:tRNA from 1 species